rnacentral:rRNA from 1 species
CCUACGGGGAGCAGCAGUGGGGAAUAUUGGACAAUGGGCGAAAGCCUGAUCCAGCCAUGCCGCGUGUGUGAAGAAGGCCUUCGGGUUGUAAAGCACUUUCAGUGGGGAAGAAAGCCUUGGGGCUAAUACCCUCGAGGAAGGACAUCACCCACAGAAGAAGCACCGGCUAACUCCGUGCCAGCAGCCGCGGUAAUACGGAGGGUGCGAGCGUUAAUCGGAAUUACUGGGCGUAAAGCGCGCGUAGGCGGUCUGAUAAGCCGGUUGUGAAAGCCCCGGGCUCAACCUGGGAACGGCAUCCGGAACUGUCAGGCUAGAGUGCAGGAGAGGAAGGUAGAAUUCCCGGUGUAGAGGUGAAAUGCGUAGAGAUCGGGAGGAAUACCAGUGGCGAAGGCGGCCUUCUGGACUGACACUGACGCUGAGGUGCGAAAGCGUGGGUAGCAAACAGGAUUAGAUACCUUGUAGUC